CUACUGGAACUCUGGUAGAGGCAUUCAAGGUAAAAACUCUGUUUACUUUAAUCCAUGCUGAUUUCAAAUUAUAUUGACACUAACUUCUAGGGCGUAAGAACUGCAACUGGAUCAUCAUCGGCAACUCUUCCUGCACCAUACACCACCAUCCCUGACAAGCCUUCAAAGGUACUUUUUUUAUUUUUAUUUCUAACCUGUU
rnacentral:lncRNA from 1 species